rnacentral:rRNA from 1 species
CCUUGCCAGCCCGCUCAGAAACUCAAAGGAAUUGACGGGGCCCGCACAAGCGGUGGAGCAUGUGGUUUAAUUCGAUGAUACGCGAGGAACCUUACCUGGGCUCGAACGUAAGAUGACUGUAGGUGAAAGCUUACAUCUCUUCGGAGCAUUUUACGAGGUGCUGCAUGGUUGUCGUCAGCUCGUGCCGUGAGGUGUCGGGUUAAGUCCCAUAACGAGCGCAACCCCUACCUUUAGUUGCCAUCAGGUAAUGCUGGGGACUCUAAAGGAACUGCCUACGCAAGUAGUGAGGAAGGCGGGGAUGACGUCAAAUCAGCACGGCCCUUACGUCCAGGGCUACACACGUGCUACAAUGGCCGAUACAGAGGGCAGCUACCUGGUGACAGGAUGCAAAUCUCCAAAGUCGGUCUCAGUUCGGAUCGGAGUCUGCAACCCGACUCCGUGAAGUUGGAUUCGCUAGUAAUCGCGCAUCAGCCAUGGCGCGGUGAAUACGUUCCCGGGCCUU